rnacentral:rRNA from 1 species
GCAUAACGCGAAGAACCUUACCUAGGCUUGAACUCCUACGAACCUGUUGUAAUGGACGGGGUGCCCGCAAGGGAAUGUAGUGAGAGGUGCUGCAUGGCUGUCGUCAGCUCGUGUUGUGAAAUGUUGGGUUAAGUCUCGCAACGAGCGCAACCCCUAUCGUCUGUUGCCAGCAUUUAGUUGGGCACUCUGACGAGACUGCCUGGGUUAACCAGGAGGAAGGUGGGGAUGACGUCAAGUCCUCAUGGCCCUUAUGUCUAGGGCUACACACGUAAUACAAUGGCGCGUACAAAGGGAAGCGAACUCGCGAGGGGGAGCAAAUCUCAAAAAGCGCGCCUCAGUUCGGAUUGGAGUCUGCAACUCGACUCCAUGAAGUUGGAAUCGCUAGUAAUCGGAGAUCAGCACGCUCCGGUGAAUACGUUCCCGGGUCUUGUACACACCG